CAUAUAUCUUCGCCCAAGCAAUCAGCGCGGGGGACCCAGCGACUUCUGGGGUGAAUCUGGGUUAUACCAGUAGGGUCAUACUUUUGGAACCCGAACUCGUCAGCUAACCCCGUCGGCGUGCCAAAAGCCCUG
rnacentral:sRNA from 2 species